rnacentral:rRNA from 1 species
CACCACAGAAGGUAAUAGUCCUGUAUGUUAAACGAGAAGACUUUAGAUAUGAUCCAGAGUACCACGGGACACGUGAAACCCUGUGGGAAGCAGGAGGGACCACCCUCCAAGGCUAAAUACUACCUAGUGACCGAUAGCGUAUAGUACCGUGAGGGAAAGGUGAAAAGAACCCCGGGAGGGGAGUGAAAUAGAACCUGAAACCCUGCACUUACAAGCUGUGGAAGCACAUUUCUUGUGUGACCGCGUACUUUUUGUAGAACGGGCCAACGAGUUACGUUAAGUAGCAAGGUUAAGCACUUAAGGUG